GAUGAACGCUGGCGGCGCGCCUAACACAUGCAAGUCGGACGAUUAAAGCACCUUCGGGUGUGUAUAAAGUGGCGAACGGCUGAGUAACACGUGGGCAACCUGCCCCUCUCAUUGGGAUAGCCACGGGAAACCGUGGAUAAUACCGAAUACUUCGGGACUUCCGCAUGGAAGACUCGAGAAAGCUCCGGCGGAGAGGGAUGGGCCCGCGGCCUGUUAGCUUGUUGGUGGGGUAAUGGCCUACCAAGGCAAUGAUGGGUAGCUGGGUUGAGAGACCGACCAGCCAGAUUGGGACUGAGACACGGCCCAGACUCCUACGGGAGGCAGCAGUGGGGAAUCUUGCACAAUGGGCGAAAGCCUGAUGCAGCGACGCCGCGUGCGGGAUGAAGGCCUUCGGGUUGUAAACCGCUUUCAGCAGGGACGAGGCGAAAGUGACGGUACCUGCAGAAGAAGCCCCGGCUAACUACGUG
rnacentral:rRNA from 1 species